UACGGGGGGGGCAAGCGUUGUUCGGAAUUACUGGGCGUAAAGGGCUCGUAGGCGGCCAACUAAGUCGGACGUGAAAUCCCCAGGCUUAACCUGGGAACUGCAUCUGAUACUGGAUGGCUUGAAUCCGGGAGAGGGAUGUGGAAUUCCAGGUGUAGCGGUGAAAUGCGUAGAUAUCUGGAGGAACACCGGUGGCGAAGGCGGCAUCCUGGACCGGUAUUGACGCUGAGGCGCGAAAGCCAGGGGAGCAAACGGG
rnacentral:rRNA from 1 species